AAACCUGAGAAACCCAAAAGAUCGAAUGGGGAGAUUCAUCGUCAGCGAUGCUGGCACGUGUGCGGUUCGCGAUGCCGGAGACUUCGGUCUCGUGGCACGCGUCCGUAUGUUUUUUAUUGCCUGGUAUCGUCGGCGUGCACUUCUCCCCUAGUAGGACGUCGCGACCCGUUGGGUGUCGGUCUACGGGCCGGGUGGGCGCCUGUCUCGUGUGCGCUUUACGGCGUCACGCGAGACAGACCCCCGGUAUACCGACCGGCUGCCCGGCGGUACUCGCAAGGUAUCUGGCCGCAAAUAUUCGAACUGCGUCCGGCCCGUCGCAAGCGAGGCAAGUGUUUCCCGAAUGUACGGAUCUAAUGCCGUCAUCGGUCAUUGCCAGCUGUUGGUUGACGGUGCCCUAGGACUGGCUAUAAGAUACCGGUCAGCGACGCUACUGCUUUGGGUACUUUCAGGACCCGUCUUGAAACACGGACCAAGGAGUCUAACAUGUGCGCGAGUCAUUGGGAACUAUUAAGCCUAAAGGCGCAAUGAAAGUGAAGGUCGGCCUUGCGCCGACCGAGGGAGGAUGGGCCGCGUCACGAUGCGGUCCCGCACUCCCGGGGCGUCUCGUUCUCAU
rnacentral:rRNA from 1 species